GCUGAAUUUACUGGUGUAAAGACGCCAAUAGGUGGAUUGCUAGGCUCGAGAAGAGAU
rnacentral:rRNA from 1 species